rfam:Nematostella vectensis strain CH2 x CH6 NEMVEscaffold_140_Cont15158, whole genome shotgun sequence.
GCCAUGCUGACGAGUCCUAAGAAGGACGAAACAGCUGUCCAUGGU